GAGACGGCCAGCUGCGCACCGCGUCUUGUGUUUUUCGGAAUUUGCGGUGUGCUUGACGUUUAUUAUAUUGCAUGUUAUUUUUUGAACAAUUUCUAACUUGUUUACGUAGUGUGUGGAAUAAUAGGGGUGAAAAUAUAUAAAACGAAUGACAAGCUCAGCAGUGACGGAGGAUUAAGUAACAACCUUGGUGCUUGUUACAUAGAUGGAUACCAGUGUCUUUUGUCCGUAGAACAGUGGAUUUUAGUAGAGUGGUGUUUACUGUUUAGUCUCUCAGUUUAUUAUCUAAUUUGAUACAUGUGGACAUCGUAGUGUAACUAGUGAUUGUUGUCGUGGCCGGUUUCCACUCAGGAAACUUUCCAAACGUGAAUAAAACAGUGGGUAAUGCUUUCCUAGCGAAUGCGGGCCCUGCCUGCACGCAUUCCGCAGGGAGCCAAGUGCCGGCAAUAAGCAUUUUACGAGAAGCGAACGGAGCGGGUGGCGGCGCGGCCGGCGGCGGCCUGCUGGCCAUGAACGCCACCCAGGUCCAGUGCGAGCCCCACGACUCCGUGGUUCUCAUCAAAUGCAACCACUAAAGGAAUCGUGGAAACAGUUCUUGAAUAGUGA